AGAACCCCCUGAAUGAUGUAGGCUAUGGGGCCACAUAAGACUUUGUCCAUCCAGGGUUACGAUGAAUGUAAAAUAUAAACUAAAGAACCCCCUGAAUGAUGUAGGCUAUGGGGCCACAUAAGACUUUGUGCAUCCAGGGUUACAUAGCAGGACAACUUUAAACUAAAAAGCUACCAGACUGGGAUUUUAGUGUACUCCAGGAUCUAACAAAUACAUACGUACUACUACGAAGUGUGAAAUGCAUGUAUAUAGUGACAGUGUUUAGUGUAUACCCUAAGGAUUAAGUGUAGUACAUUGUGCUUUUUAGUGUCACAAGAGUUUAAUAAAGAAUUAUACCUUCAAGAACCAUCCUUUGCCAUUGGAAUAACCACACUACACAUCAUGCAAUCUACUUGCAUGUCACACAGGUAAGGUCUCUAACUUUUUCUUAGUUUAAGGCAUAUUUCCAAGUGUCGUUCCGGCUUACGACGAUUUUCGGCUUACGACGCGCCUCAAGAACGGAACCCCCGUCGUAACCCGGGGAC